CAGCGGGAAGCACUCGAUCCCCAAACACGCUACUUAUAUCGAUUCCAGAACUCCACCAAGCCGAGCGGAGUUGUGGAAUCGAUAGGGGGAGCCGCGGAAGUUGAUCCCGCGCCAUGAGGACGGUGAGUAAUUCAAUCUUAGAUACUUCGACUUCAGCUACGUUAUU